CAGAGGGCAGCAAGCAUGCGAGUGCAAGCAAUCCCGGAAACCGGAGCUCAGUUCAGAUCGCAGGCUGCAACUCGCCUGCGUGAAGGAGGAAUCGCUAGUAAUUGCAGGUCAGCAUACUGCAGUGAUUCCGUCCGGGCCUUGUACACACCGCCCGUCACACCAUGGGAGUUGGGUUGACCCGAAGGCGCUGCGCCAACCUCGCAAGAGGGGGCAGGCGACCACGGUCGGCUCAGCGACUGGGGUGAAGUCGUAACAAGGUAGCCGUAGGGGAACCUGCGGCUGGAUCACCUCCUUUCUAG
rnacentral:rRNA from 1 species